CGCUGGCGGCAUGCCUUACACAUGCAAGUCGAACGGCAGCACGGGGGGUAACUCCUGGUGGCGAGUGGCGAACGGGUGAGUAAUAUAUCGGAACGUGUCCUGUAGCGGGGGAUAACCUAUCGAAAGAUGGACUAAUACCGCAUACGCUCUACGGAGGAAAGCGGGGGUUCUUGGGCAACUGAGGACCUCGCACUAUAGGAGCGGCCGAUAUCGGAUUAGCUAGUUGGCGGGGUAAAAGCCCACCAAGGCGACGAUCCAUAGCUGGUCUGAGAGGAUGAUCAGCCACACUGGAACUGAGACACGGUCCAGACUCCUACGGGAGGCAGCAGUGGGGAAUUUUGGACAAUGGGCGCAAGCCUGAUCCAGCCAUGCCGCGUGAGUGAAGAAGGCCUUCGGGUUGUAAAGCUCUUUCGGCAGGAACGAAAUGGUUCGUGCCUAUACCACGGACUGAUGACGGUACCUGAAGAAGAAGCACCGGCUAACUCUGUGCCAGCAGCCGCGGUAAUACAGAGGGUGCGAGCGUUAAUCGGAAUUACUGGGCGUAAAGCGCGCGUAGGCGGCUUUGCAAGUCGGGUGUGAAAUCCCCAGGCCUAACCUGGGAACUGCAUUCGAGACUGCAUGGCUAGAGUAUCGGAGAGGGAAGUGGAAUUUCAGGUGUAGCGGUGAAAUGCGUAGAUAUCUGAAGGAACAUCAGUGGCGAAAGCGACUUCCUGGACGAAUACUGACGCUCAUGUGCGAAAGCGUG
rnacentral:rRNA from 1 species